CCCCUAGAUGUUCUGGGCCGCACGCGCGCUACACUGAACAGUUCAACAAGUCUUAACCUUGGCCGAUAGGUCUGGGUAAUCUUUGAACGCUGUUCGUGAUUGGGAUAGACCUUUGCAAUUAUGGGUCUUCAACGAGGAAUUCCUAAUAAACGCAAGUCAUCAGCUUGCAUUGAUUACGUCCCUGCCCUUUGUACACACCGCCCGUCGCACCUACCGAUUGAAUGGUCCGGUGAAAUCUCGGGACGGCGGCUUGGUCGCUUGCGUCCGACUGCUGAAACUUGAUUAAACCAUAUCAUUUAGAGGAAGGUGAANUCGUANCA
rnacentral:rRNA from 1 species